rnacentral:rRNA from 1 species
UACGGAGGGUGCAAGCGUUGUCCGGAAUCACUGGGCGUAAAGGGCGCGUAGGCGGCUCAUGAAGGCUGUGGUGAAAGUCCGGGGCUCAACCUCGGAUCGGCCGUGGCGACUCGUGGGCUGGAGCACUGUAGAGGCGGGUGGAAUUCCGGGUGUAGCGGUGGAAUGCGUAGAGAUCCGGAAGAACACCAGUGGCGAAGGCGGCCCGCUGGGCAGUGGCUGACGCUGAGGCACGAAAGCGUGGGGAGCAAACAGG